rnacentral:rRNA from 1 species
UGUGGAAUUGCACAGACAACCAGGAUGUUGGCUCAGAAGCAGCCACACAUUUAAAGAGUGCGUAAUAGCUCACUGGUCGAGUGAUUGUGCGCCGAAGAUGUCCGGGGCUAAACGUGACACCGAAGCGAUGGGUGCAUCUGAAGAAGAUGCGCGGUAGAGGAGCAAUGUGCAGAGGCAGAAGCCGUAUCGAGAGGCACGGUGGACACUGCACAAGAGAGAAUGCCGGUAUGAGUAGCGAGAGGCAUGCGAGAAACAUGCCCGUCGAAAGCCCAAGGUUUCCUGGGGAAGGUUCAUCCGCCCAGGGUAAGUCGGGGCCUAAGCCGAGGACGGAAGUCGUAGGCGAUGGACAGCAGGUGUAGAUUCCUGCACUACCGAUGGAAUGAAGCAGUGACACAGAAGGAUAACUCGAGCAGGGUGAUGGUCAACCCUGUGCAAGCAUCAAGGUUGGGUUGUAGUGAAGUACGCAACCCUAUAAGCUGAGAUGUGAUGCGGACCGAAAUUUCAGUAGGGAAGCGAGUGAGUUCACGCUGGCGAGAAAAGCUGCUAGUACAUCCAAAGGUACCCGUACCGGAAACCGACGCAGGUGGGCGAGGAGAGAAUCCUGAGACGAACGGGAGAACCCUUGUUAAGGAACUCGGCAAAAUGACCCCGUAACUUCGGGAUAAGGGGUGCCUGCGAGAGCAGGCCGCAGAGAAUAGUCACAAGCGACUGUUUAGCAAAAACACAGGUAUCUGCGAAAGCGAGAGCUGACGUAUAGGUGCUGACACCUGCCCGGUGCUGGAAGGUUAAGGGAACAUGUUAGAGCAAUCGAAGCAUCGAACCGAAGCCCCAGUAAACGGCGGCCGUAACUAUAACGGUCCUAAGGUAGCGAAAUUCCUUGUCGGGUAAGUUCCGACCCGCACGAAUGGUGUAACGACUUGUGAGCUGUCUCAACAGGGGGCCCGGUGAAAUUGAAGUAUGGGUGAAGAUGCCCAUUACCCGCGACUGGACGGAAAGACCCCGUAGAGCUUUACUGCAGCCUGAUAUUGAGUUUCGGUAACUGAUGCACAGGAUAGGUGGGAGUCUGAGAGACAUGGGUUUCGGCUCAUGUGGAGACGGUGUUGGGAUACCACUCUUCGGUUACUGAAAUUCUAACAUAGCUCUGUGAAACCAGAGGAUGGACAGUGUCAGGUGGACAGUUUGACUGGGGCGGUCGCCUCCGAAAGAGUAACGGAGGCGCCCAAAGGUACCCUCAGAAUGGAUGGAAACCAUUCGAAGAGCGCAAAGGCAGAAGGGUGCCUGACUGCGAGAGUGACAACUCGAGCAGAGACGAAAGUCGGGCUUAGUGAUCCGGCGGUAUUGAGUGGAAAAGCCGUCGCUUAACGGAUAAAAGCUACCUCGGGGAUAACAGGCUGAUCUCCCCCAAGAGUCCACAUCGACGGGGAGGUUUGGCACCUCGAUGUCGGCUCGUCGCAUCCUGGGGCUGAAGCAGGUCCCAAGGGUUUGGCUGUUCGCCAAUUAAAGCGGCACGCGAGCUGGGUUCAGAACGUCGUGAGACAGUUCGGUCCCUAUCCAUCGUGGGCGUAGGAGUCAUGAGAGGAGCUGUUCCUAGUACGAGAGGACCGGAAUGGACGCACCACUGGUGCAACUGUUGUCGUGCCAACGGCAUAGCAGGGAAGCGAAGUGCGGAUGGGAUAAACGCUGAAGGCAUCUAAGCGUGAAGCCCACCUCAAGAAUAAGACUCCACAAUAGACCCCUGGAGGACUACCAGGUAGAUAGGUCAUCGGUGGAAGCGCUGUAAGGCGUGUAGCUUGAUGAUACUAAUCGGUCGAAAGCUUCAUUUA